UACGUAGGGCGCAAGCGUUGUCCGGAAUUAUUGGGCGUAAAGAGCUCGUAGGCGGUUUGUCGCGUCUGCUGUGAAAACCUAAGGCUCAACCUUGGGCUUGCAGUGGGUACGGGCAGACUAGAGUGCGGUAGGGGGUGACUGGAAUUCCCUGGUGUAGCGGUGGAAUGCGCAGAUAUCAGGAGGAACACCGGUGGCGAAGGCGGGUCUCUGGGCAGUAACUGACGCUGAGGAGCGAAAGCGUGGGGAGCGAA
rnacentral:rRNA from 1 species